rnacentral:rRNA from 1 species
UACGUAGGUGGCAAGCGUUGUCCGGAAUUAUUGGGCGUAAAGCGCACGUAGGCGGAUCUUUAAGUCAGGGGUGAAAUCCCGAGGCUCAACCUCGGAACUGCCUUUGAUACUGGGGAUCUCGAGUCCGGGAGAGGUGAGUGGAACUGCGAGUGUAGAGGUGAAAUUCGUAGAUAUUCGCAAGAACACCAGUGGCGAAGGCGGCUCACUGGCCCGAUACUGACGCUGAGGCACGAAAGCGUGGGGAGCAAACAGG